GGAAACAGAGAUGAGGAUUUACAAUAACAGGCUUUUUGACGUCAGUCACACAUGGACAUCAACAAAGCAUGAAAAGCUCCCAUUAACCAAACCAUUGGACAGAUUUCUUGUUUCUGAUAACCUUAAAGUCUUCAAAGUUGAUAUCUGUGAGAUCUGCCACCAGUUUUGCAGCUUUUGGUUCUGGCUUUUUUGCUCCUCUGCCUCCAACCCCUCUUCCAUCUAACCUCAACACUGCUCCUCCUCUGCACUGGUUUAGAUCCAUAACCUUUCCUUUUGUUCCUCCAACACCGUCUCUGGUUUUCAUACUGAGCCCAUCCAGUGCCCCCUGGACCACCACCAAGCCCUCAGCCAGGCACUCGGCCCGCUUGCUAUUCUGUACGCCCUGUUUUUUAACCUCUGUCAGCUCUGCUUUGGUUCUCUGCAGAUUGUUCCUCAGGUCAUGCAUUUCACGGACCAGGCUGUCCAUACGGCUGGAUGAAGUGUCCAUCAACAUUUGUAGGAAGGCUCUGUAGUUCCUCUCCUGCUGUUGGAUGAGCUCCUUGUAGUAUUGCUGCUGUUCAUCUAAGAGGUCAUAGACCGCAGAGAGGCUUACCAGCUCAUCCUCUGCUGAAUACAUUGCCACUUCCUGGGGCAGCAUAAUGAGGGAACAAUGGCAAGAUGGGCAAAUAUCCCGUGUUACAGAGGAAGCAAUAGGUGGAUGGUAAAAAUAUUGGCCAGACAUUUAUCAUUCGCUCCUGAUUUAAAAAAGAAAAAAAAAACUAGAAUGAGAAGUACCAGAAAAGCAGCAUGUCUUGUUAUUCCAAUAGUCACAUAAUUGUAUGAAUAAAGAAAAGCCAAAUAUUGAUUUAAGUAGCUGGAUGUUUUCAAUCCUCCUGGAUAUGUUAGAUGGGUGUCUGAAUGGUGAGAAGGUGGCUGGAAAAUUGCCAGACUCGUCUUUCAUUUCUCCCAGAAGCUGGCAGAUGACAGAGGUUUCACAAUCCCAGCAGAUCGAACUGACCUGACAGGUGGUACCUGUCUUCCAUGCUCUAGAUGACAAGUUGGUGUAGCAGCUGGCCCUUCUGUUGACGCUGUCCUGGUAACUUGUCCAUCUUUCUGCCUCUCAAAUUUAAGUGCCAAUCAUUUUCCAGGUGUGGGCGUAUGAGACCAGACGCUGUCCUUCCCUCAAUGCAUCUGACUCCACGUUGGUGGCACUGUGUUGAUCCCUACCGCCUGCCCUUCCAUUUCACUGUGCAAAUGCUUUACAGGUUAGGCUGAGCCGUAAAGUAAGGAUGCUGAUGAAGUGUCCACCUUCUGCACGAGUCUACAGUUGAAAUGUGUUUUAUGAGAUCGUGUGAGCAGAGUCCAGGAGGCCAGGCUGGAGGAGGUCAGUCAAACAUGACAGGAAAUUGGUUUUAGGUGUGUGAGAAUAAAAGUGUCCACACCAGAAGGGGUCACAAGACUUUUUUUAUGUCUGCAUGUAUGUGCUAAUCUGCAGCCUGUCAGCUCUCAGCUACAGUUGCAGCUCCUGGGGAGGAUCAGUUAACUGGUCAGCCAACCUCCUGUACUGCAUAAAGGGUCACUUCUUAACAGGACUUUCACCCACAGUCACUGAAUGUUUGAUUUACACACAAACCUUUGCUGACUCUCAGAACAGAGUUGAAGCUGGUUUCACAUAAAUUAGACAACUUAGAAACCUAGCCUUAUUUUAAAACAUUUACUGGCUUCAACAGGUACAAAUAUUUAACAAGUUAUACUUUCCCUCCUGAGAGAUUUCUGACCAAGUUGUUUUUUUUUAAAUAAAAACAGUUGAUCACAGGGCUGUAAAAACAACUGUUAAAUUAAACCAUCUGUCAGAAAUAAAGACCAGUUUAGAGUAAAACAGCAGCUGACACUGAUUAAAUUGACUGGAACUAUGACAAUUUAAUCAAAUCACUAUGAAAUGUGUUAACAAAUGACCAGACCACAGUAUUACUUCAAGUAAUUACUAAUAAAUAGCAGGAGAUAUGUUGUUAAGCAGCCCAGCGUUUAUAAACUGGAAAAUCUGCAUGAGUCGAGCUGCAGGAGGAUGUAUUAUGAAAUGGGAUCAGGAUUGUUUCCAUUCUGAGAUCUGCCAAUUCUAGUUUCUAACGACUGUAACACAUAAGAUCAAAUGAAACCUAACAAAAACAACGUUACAAGAGUUACAAGAUUUUCCACAUUUAUGUACUCCACCAACUUGUCUGGCUACAUAACAUGAAAAAGUCAUGAAGUGUUAAUAUUAGCAGUUAAUAUUGUGAUAUUUCGAUGCAAUAUAUCCGCAUGUUCUUCUUGAAAGCUUCCAAUACUCUGAACAUCUACUGCUGUAGACUUCACUUACUGACAUAGAAAGUGUGAAUAUGUCAGAACUGGAAUAAAAUAGCCAACAAAUAGAUUCGACAGUCCUUUGUGAUAUUGAUAAUUACACACAACAAAUUCUAAUGAAAAUGUAUUUGCACUGCAUUUUGCAGCCUAAUUUCAAGGAUAUUUCCUUCCUUUCAUUUUGAUUCAACUCAAAGAAAUUGUAAAGUUAGGGCAGGGAGUUAUAAUUGUCGUGUUGGCAAGCAGUUGUGAUCCUCCCAGAACAGCGAGCUAAUUCUUUACGUCUUCCUGCCAUUUAUUGCUGGGUAACAGUCUUGUCAUCCGUUUAUGACCUUGUCUCUACGAAACAAACCAGAAUAAACACUGAUUUACACCUCCUUGUUUCAUACACACAGGGCAAUGCAACGAAACCAGUCUGUUUGCUUAUAAGACAGGUGGGAAAUGAUGAAGUGAUUGUUUCUUCUAUGAAGUAGUAAGAAAUAGUAGUAAGUGCUCAGCCUAGUGAUGGUUAACAAACUGGUAAGGCUUCUAAAAUCCAGUCCAAAUGACUUAAGAUGGAGAGAUGUCUGGCAAAAGAGAUCAUGUUCCUGUUAGAGCAGAUGGUACAAGCUGAGAAGGGAGUAUGUACAGACGACUUUAAAAAACACAUUUUCUUUCUUUGUGACUUGAUAUUUGUUUAAGGCAAUUUUACAUUAGAAAAAAAUGAUGAACACUGGGGAGAUGACUCACUGUAUUCAUCUGGUGUACAACUGCAUCCCAUUUGUUGUAAAAACAUUUACUCAUAAAACUGAAAAGGAGAUCAAUCUGACAUUAGCAGUUUAAGGUUAAAAUAUCCAGAGAUUGGUUAAAAAUACUGUCAGAGUACACUACCCAUCAUGAGUUUUAGAUAAACUUUCUCACUUAAUGGGUCUGUUUAUUUUCAUGACCAUUUAUAGUGUAGAUUCUCACCAAAGGCAACAAAACUAUGAAUGAACACAGAUGGAAUUAUGUAGUAAACAAAAAGUGUGAAAUAACUCUAAACAUUUUUAUAUUUUAGAUUAUUACAAAAUAGCCGCCCUUUGCUUUGAUGCCUGCUUUGUUCUCUUAGCAUUUUCUCCAUGAGGUCACCUGAAAUAGUUUUCCAAAGAGUCUUGUAAGAACUUCCCGAAGGUUCAUUGAGACACGCCCAAAGGUUAAUAUUUCAGUCAUCACGGCAAACCGCGGCUACUUUAAGGAAUGUAAAUCUUUGUUUGCUACAUCUGUGCAUAUAUGUUCAUCCACAGUUUUGAUGCCUUCAGUGAGAAUCUGCAUACGAUAUAUAUAGUCAUAAACAUAAAGAAAACCAUUAAAUGAAAAAGGGAGUUUUGACCAGCAGUGUAUAUAAAGUACAUAAAGUGAGCUUUGCUUUGGAUGACCCAAAAUUAAGAGCAAAAAAUAUUAUAAAUAAAUCACAAAAACAAUAAAGGAUUAUAUUUGAGAAAAAAUGUCAACCAAAGAAAUCCAGUCAAUUGUCUGUAAUGUUAUGCAACACCAUGAUGACAACAAGCAAGAAUAAAACGAUGACCUGGUACCUGUCCAUUUCAUCCACUAUUUAUUACAGGCAGAUGAAAACAGCUAGAGGUAUUUGUAAAGUGAUAGGGAUCUCAGAUAAUUAAGAUCAGGUUACUAACUGACAGGCCUCAUUGCUUGUUCUGUUCAGUGAAGGACAACCUUUAUCCUACUGCACACAUUCCUCUUAUGAGGUUGAUGCAAACUUGCCUCAGACCAAAAUGUGCUGACAGGAGCUGAUUUUGUCAAAAUGCAACUUUUUUGUGAGGAGUGGCAACCAGCAUUUCCAGUUCUCUUUCCCUAAAUGGCAAGGACUGUGACCAAAAAAAUAUUUUCCUUCACUCCCUUCCCUUCCUCCAUCUCCCAAUAUUUCUGUCUAUUCUUUAUGGUCUUCCUCUUUUCCCUUCUCAUUUAAAGCUCCAUGUUCAGCGUUCCUUGUCCAUCUAUCAGCCCUCUUCUGCACAUGUCCAAGCCAUCUGAGCCAUGGCCAUCUACCUCUCUCUCUGGGAUAUACAUUUCUAACUCUGUCCAUUUUGGUUAAUACCAAUGACAAUUCGAAUACUGUCAGCUCUGUUUUUUUUUGUUGUUGGUGCUGCAUUUCCAAACCGUACAAAAUAACAGGCCUCACUGCUAGAUUUUACUAUAUCUGUUUUUCCAUGGCUGAUGAUUGGAUUUUAAAAAUAAGGACACAAUGAUUUUCAUCAUUCGAUUUGGCCAGUGUCUAUUUUUCCCCCAAUCUUUUUUAUUUUCUUUAACCUGGAAUCUGAUUUGUGCAGCUGCUUCUUUCUCCUGUGGCUUUAGAGACCUGUUGGAGGAGAUAUUAAAGAUGAGUCACGUGCAUUCUUGUUCACAGAUCUGUUUUUUUCUGGCCAAGAGCAUCCAAAGCAGAAAAACUCCCCUGCACAGAUCAUAAGGUCUGGGCUACUUGCUAUCGGACCCUUUCUGGGUGGGACUCAAUGCUUACUAAACUCCAGCUGAUUGAAGGCUUGUCAUCAUUCUAGCUUCACACAGAGACUGGGGCCCCACUGACCAUCCUUUGGGGCGUACCUGUAGCUGUUUGAGUCACAGCGACCCUGUGCUGCACAACCUCUUUCUGGUUAUCUAACAGCUGAUGCUUAAAAACUAGAAAAUAUGUAUAUUGUGGCCUGAUUUUUUUUUCAUGGGCUAACCUUCGCUCACUGCCAGCUUGUAAACCUUCCUUUCCACUCCUGCAGCUGGUAAUAAACUGUUACACAUCAACCCCAACAGUCAUUUCAAUUUGCCCUCUGCUUCUGUCUGUCCCUCUUUGUCCUCUGAGCCUCCAGUGGGUCAUUGCAGAUGGCUGAUCAACCUGAGCUUGGUUUGUGUUGGUGGUUCCCUCCCAUUAAAAGGGAACGUUUCCUCUCCACUGUCCCUACAUGCUUGCUCAGGACGACAGAUGCUGGCACAGGAUGAUACUUGAAAUCAUGAGUUUCAGUCUUACCUCUGAGCUGCAUCCACCAGCUGCCUUCUGUGCUGUUCAGCAACAAUAGCAAACAGACGGGGUACCAGGCUGCUGUUAUCUCUGGUUACAGUGUGGAAAAAACGGCGUGCCCGGCCAGCGCUAUGGAGCAGACCUGAAUGUAUACACUCCACAGGGGGGCACUGGUGGGCCAGGCUGAGAGGGCAGAGGUCUCCAGGGCAGCCAGUGAGAUGCUUCACGGGACGACUCCACAUCCAACCAGACGGUUCCUCUGGGCUGGGUCCUAUCCUUUACCUCCUCUUCAUCCUCAUCCUCCUCCUCUUCUUCUUCCUCUAUUUGUGGAGAACCAGAAAGCUGACACUAAAAUGUCUCAUUUAGGGAUUUCUCAACCAAACUAAUUCCUGUUUAAUUUAUAUUACAAACUAUGUAUCAUCCUUUAUCACAGAGCUGUAAGAAUGUCUACAGGUGCAUCUCAAUAAAAACUGAAUAUUAUUGAAAAAAAAAAAA